GUGCCAGCAGCCGCGGUAAUACGGAGGGUGCAAGCGUUAAUCGGAAUUACUGGGCGUAAAGCGCACGCAGGCGGUCUGACAAGUCGGAUGUGAAAUCCCCGGGCUCAACCCGGGAACUGCAUUCGAAACUGUCAGGCUGGAGUCUUGUAGAGGGGGUAGAAUUCCAGGUGUAGCGGUGAAAUGCGUAGAGAUCUGGAGGAAUACCGGUGGCGAAGGCGGCCCCCUGGACAAAGACUGACGCUCAGGUGCGAAAGCGUGGGAGCAAACAGGAUUAGAUACCCUGGUAGUCCACGCCGUAAACGAUGUCUAUUGGAGGUUGUGCCCUUGAGGCGUGGCUUCCGGAGCUAACGCGUUAAAUAGACCGCCGUGGGGAGUACCGGCCGACGAAGGUUAAAACUCAAAUGAA
rnacentral:rRNA from 1 species